CACCGGCGGCUCGAGUGGUUGCCACUUUUAUUGGGUCUAAAGCGUCCGUAGCCGGCUUGGCAAGUCCCCUGGGAAAUCUGGCGGCUUAACCGUCAGGCGUCCAGAGGAUACUGCCAGGCUUGGGACCGGGAGAGGUGAGAGGUACCUCAGGGGUAGGGGUGAAAUCUUGUGAUCCCUGAGGGACCACCAGUGGCGAAGGCGUCUCACUAGAACGGGUCCGACGGUCAGGGACGAAAGCUGGGGGCACGAACCGG
rnacentral:rRNA from 1 species